AGAGAGAGACAUGCGCGCAUAUCAAUAAGCGGAGGAAAAGAAACUAACAAGGAUUCCCCUAGUAACGGCGAGUGAAGCGGGAAGAGCUCAAAUUUGAAAUCUUAAAGGGUUUCCCUUUACGAAUUGUAGUUUAAAGAAGUGUUUUCUGUUGAGGUUUUGGUAAAAGUUCUUUGGAAUAGGACAUCAUAGAGGGUGAGAAUCCCGUAUUUGACCUUUACUUUCAACUUUGUGAUACACUUUCAAAGAGUCGGAUUGUUUGGGAAUGCAGUCCAAAAUGGGUGGUAAAUUUCAUCUAAAGCUAAAUAUUGGCGAGAGACCGAUAGCGAACAAGUACCGUGAGGGAAAGAUGAAAAGAACUUUGAAAAGAGAGUUAAACAGUACGUGAAAUUGUCAAAAGGGAAGCGUUUGACACCAGUGUUGUUUUUCUGAAAAUCAAUUAAAGAACUGUUUAUGCUAAGCUGUUUAGACUUUAUCAGCUAACUGUUUAGUUUUGAGCUUUUCUUUAAUGCACUUUUCAGUUAACAAGUCGACAUCAAUUUCUUUUGCUGUAAAAAAGCUUGAGGAAGGUGGCUUGAGAUUCGUCUUAAGUGUUUAUAGCCUCUUGCCUAUGCAGUCGGAGAGAUUGAGGUCUGCAGCGUAGAUCCUUCGGGGCUAAAUGCAUUUGUGCUAAGUUAUAGCAUUUUAUAGACAACUUGUUGACUAUGAUUUGUCUUGUAGCUUACUCGCUUAUGUUAUUUUACCUACGCUUAGGAUGUUGACGCAUGAGAUAUACGC
rnacentral:rRNA from 1 species